GGAAUACCUGGGAAAAAGAAAAAAGGGGGGAACACAGACAUUUAGUAUUUCUCUCCAAUGGGAUUCAAAAUAUCUCCACUCCCAAUACAGCAGAGCUGCAGUUUCUGUUCUUGAAACUGCCUCUCUGCUGAGUUUUUGCAUGUAUUUUAAUACUGUCAGUAGUUGUAGCACAGUUUGGGAGGGAGGUACCUGGUCAUGUCUGCAAGAUAUUUUUGUCAGCCCUAAUGUAGCAAAUUGGUCACUCCCAGUAACUCCUCUCUGCCCCUGGCAAGCAUGACAACCUUUAAAAACUUCGAUUAUGGGAAACAAAACCCUCUCAUUUGUUUUAAAGACCAGUAAAUGGCAGUGGGAUCAGGUCAGCUCGUGGAUACCCACAGCCCUUGGAAUACCCACAUCAGCAGGGCCUUGUGAUUUGUCCCUUGAAUGACAGCAAGAAUCCUUUCCAGCUUCUCCCUUGUGAUAUGAUCUGCAAAUAUUAAGGCAGAAACAAAGUCUCAAUUAUCCAUCCAGAAACUGGGAAGAGACAGCAGCCUAAAAUGUGCCACCGAGGUAUUGCUGCCCCUUGGGCAGCCACAUCAAAAGGGGCUGAUGAGAGGUGGCCUCAGCAGAGCCACUUUCCCUGGCUGUACAUGGAGCAGCACAGCACUGGACUGCAAAGGGAAGGGUUACUUUGCCUAAUUGAUUUCCAGAUGUUGAUGCUCCAGUUUGUCUUAUCGGGUGUUUGAACAGAGUUUCAUUCAAUGAAAGCUUUUAACUGCUAUCACCAAGUGUGAUUUACAGAGAUCUGGGUCUUGACCAACCCAGCAGCAAUGAGUAUGGCCAGCACUUAUACUGGCUUUUUAUAUAUUGUGUUAUAUUUAGAUCAAUAACAAACAGAAAGCAUGUAAGGAGCAGCUUCUGUUGUGCAAUUCACCUGGCUAAAUGCUUUGCAGUUAGUGUGCUGUUUGGUGUUCUGUGUUU